rnacentral:rRNA from 1 species
AUGGAGAGGGAUGAGUCGCUGCAACGCGCAGUGGAAGAUAGUUGGAAGAGUAACGAUCCUGCCACAAGCCUACAAGAAAUUCAGGGGAAGUUGCUGAAUAUGCAACAAAAUCUGAGCAAAUGGAGCGCAAAGAAGAUUGGAUCGGUCAGACAGAAAAUUUGCAUGCUUCGGAAAAAGCUGCAGGUCCUAAUGAACAAACUAAUAAGCCCUGCAAAUGACAGUGAGAUCAGUCGGCAUUCAAAGGAGUUGGGCGGGCUGCUGCUCCGGGAGGAGAUCCUUUGGUGCCAACGGUCUAGAGCAACAUAUCUCCGUGAAGGGGAUAGAAAUACGGAGUGGUUCCACCGCCAAGCAACGUGGAGAAGGAAACAAAAUACCAUCACCAAAUUAGAAUGA